AUGAAUCGGCAAUGGAUGUACGGUAACCGACUCUCCGGCGAGUUCACUACGGGUUUGAAAGAUUUCCUCGUAGUGGCUAAUGCGAACAAGGAGGGGGGUUUUGUUAUCUGUCCAUGUGUUAUCUGUAAGAAUCAGAAGGGUUACUCUUCCUCAAGAGAUGUUCACAUGCAUCUGCUUCGGCACGGUUUCAUGCCAAGCUAUAAUUGUUGGACCAAGCAUGGAGAAAGAGGGGUUAUAAUGGAAGAAGAUGAAGAAGGGGAUGAUUUCAUCGAUGAAAGCUAUCUUGCUCAUUUCGGUGAUACUUUCAUGGAGGAUGCUGAAGGUGAAGGGGAAGGUGAAGAAGAGGCACGUGAUGAUCCCGUUGAUGAUCUUGGUCGGACCAUUGCUGAUGCACGGAGACGCUGCGAAACUGAAAAGGAGAGGGAGAAUUUGUAUCGCAUGUUAGAGGAUCACAGAAAGGAGCUGUACCCCGGAUGC
rnacentral:rRNA from 1 species